UUUUGUAAAUAGACAAAAGCUUACCUCAGAAACAUCAUUUACAAGGUUUACGACCUUGAAAAACUCUGGAGUAGUAGUGCUUUUCCACUUCAAUAUCAAUGGAUAUUCAGAUUGGAAUUCCUUAUCUCUAACUCCAUAUGCUGCACCAAAUGCUGGAACUGCGCUCAACACCCAUCUUGUUAGCGCGAGUCCAAAUCCUCUCAAAUCAUAUUUCUCUUUUGCCCAAGUUUUCUCGUCCAUUCUCAGAAUUGAAUUUGAUAGAACACUGAAUGCUUCUUUACCCAACGGUUGGGCUGUGUACAUCUCAAAAUCAGAAGCAUGCUGCAAUCUUGGCAAACGUAUCUUCUCUUUUCCAUAUGGUGUCAAAAGAAUUCCUUCAGUCAACACUACUGCAGCAAGACACAACUUUUCUUCAUCUUCAACAGCAGGUUCACCUUCCUUAGGUUUUAAAAACAAUCGAUCUUCGAGAUCACCAAGAGUAUAGGAUCCUUCACUAGCCCAAAAGUAUGGUUCUUUUACAGGAUCUUUCCCCUUUCGUCGAAGUUCCCUAUGAACAGGUUCACAUUGAAUUCCUGUAAGAACAAAAGACAGUUUAGAGACUAUUAUUACAGGUUUUAUACUAAAUACUUUAAAAACGAUUGUAAAUCAUGUUUAACACUUUUAAAAGCUUUUAAAAUCCCUUAUAAAUCAUUCAAUGUCACUUACUUAUGCUUUAAAAACGAUUGUAAACCAUGCAGACACUUUUAAAAUCCCUUGUAAAUCAUUCUAUGACACUUACUUAUGCUUUAAAAACAAUUGUAAAUCAUGUUUAACCCUUCUAAAAGCUUUUAAAAUCCCUUGUAAAUCAUUCUAUUCAACUUACUUAUGCUUAAAAAACGAUUGUAAAUCAUGUUUAACCCCUUAGAAAAGGUUUUAAAAUCCCUUGUAAAUCAUUCUAUUCAACUUACUUAUGCUUAAAAAACGAUUGUAAAUCAUGUUUAACCCUUAGAAAAGAUUUUAAAAUCCCUUGUAAAUUAUUCUAUCCCACUUACUUAUGUUUUAAAAUCGAUUGUAAACCAUGCAAACACUUCUAAAAUCCCUUGUAAAUCGUUUUAAGACACUUACUUAUGCUUUUAAAAUCCCAUGUAAACGUGUUUAACACUUCUUUAAGCUUUUAAAAUCCCUUGUAAAUUAUUCUAUGUUAGUUACUUAUGCCUAAAAACGGUUGUAAACCAUGCAUACCCUUUUUAAAAUCCCUUGUAAAUCAUUAUCUGCCACUAACUUAUGCUUCUUAAAUAAUUGUUAAUGAAGUAAACCCCUUUUAAAAGCUUUUAAAAUCCCUUGUAAAUUAUCUAUAACACUUACUUAUGUUUUAAAAAUGAUUGUAAACUACGCAAACAGUUAUGCAAAUGCCUUGUAAAUCAUUCUACGACAGUUAAUUAAGCUUUAAAAACGAUUGUAAAACUUUAUUACCUGUUGUGAGAUAGAACUCUCUCAAGGAGAAACAGAUAGGUUGAGAAUCAACUCUAAACCAAAGAGUUGAUCCUUUUGUUUUCACUCUCUGCUGCAUGAGAUAGUGAAAGAUUUUCCCAGAAAAUCUGAUUCCCUUCUUAGCCUUCAUUUUUGGUCCCAAUUCAACUAGAAGACCAAGAAACGAACUUCUAAUCUUCUGAAAUAAACACUCGCCUAAAGCUUCCUCUACUUUACUAACUAAAUUCCAAUCCAAGUAUUGUUGAACGGUUCCCAGUGCAAUAGAUUCCUCACCUUCUCUGUAGAUCUGUUCAGGCAAUGUAAGGAUUUCACUCUCUGAAUCCAUCUGCAAAACAUGUUAUGAAACAUCGUCAGAUCUACUAUAAAAUCGACUAUAAAAUCGAUUAUAAAAACGGUUACCGUCGGAUCUAUCGAUAUCUCUGGGGAUUGUUUGCGUCGUAGAGAAAUGAUCUGAAUCCGUCAGCGAAGAACAGAUUUAUCGGAGAGGAAAUUCGUCAGCGAUUUUGGGGUUUCUCGGAGAGAAAAUUUGUCGGCGAUUUUGAGUGAAAUCGGAGAGGAAAUUCGUUGGCGAUUUUGAGUGAAAUCGGAGAGGAAAUUCGUCGGCAAUUUUGAGUGAAAUCGGAGAGGAAAUUCGCCGGCGAUUUUGAGUGAAAUCGGAUAGGAAAAUUCGUUGGCCAAAACGAAGAAGUUUGUGCCAAAACGAAUUGUAUUGUGAAACGAAUGUGAAACCUAAUCAUUCAGUAAGGGUAAGACAGUCAUUUGCCAUAUUAGAAAGGGUAGUUUUAAAAAUGGCCUUCAGGAAAGGACAUUUUUACAAAAGGUUAUUAGAAUAAGGGCAGUUUUGCAAAUCUCCCAAUUAAAUAUUAAAGUAUUUUGAAUCAAUGGCAUUUUUGUAAUUAAUCUAAACCGGAAGGAUAUUUUUUGGUUUAUAUUUUAUUUCUCUUUCCUAUUUACGUAAAUAAC
rnacentral:sRNA from 1 species